CGAAAUUGGCUUCCUGACGAGAGUAUACUUAUCGAGCUUCUCACGUAUAUCAUGAAGGAAAUCAUGUGAUGAACAAGUUUGCUGGAAGAUGAAUAGAAGAUUUAUUCUGGUGGUUUUAUAUUCCGACUUUCUGUUUUGAUGCGCUCCAUAGAGAGAUAUCAGAUAUGGGAGGAUUUUCCUACUACCGUUUAUGUAAAUAAUCGACUCUUUGAGCAGAUAUGUAUUCUUUUUCCCCUUUAGUCUUUUUUCCUACUGAUUUUUGGCCAACAGGGUUUUAACUAGUCGAGAUGUGCUAGUUGCCUUUGAUAUCAGUUAUUUCCUCUCACAGUUGCAUCUCUUAGAAUUGUAGAAUGUAGCAAUUUGACCUCAGUUCCUAAUGAGAUGGGCAAACUCCCAGAUCUCAAGUAUGUUAAUUGGAAGCCUCGCACCGAAAUACCAAUGAUCGCAUUGGCUGAGGCAAAACUCUCCUGCUUCACGACAUGCAUGAGGAAAUCCCAGUUCAGCUAGCUGGUUGUGGUGGAGUUUCUAGAACUAUUUGUUGAGGAUAAAACAAAGUCUGCUUGUUGCCACGUUAUUAGAGUUUGGGUUCCUUGGCGCUUCUAUGCUCGAUAGAGAAGUGAAACUAGCUUCCUAAAGAGUAUUACUCAUUAGGCUUUUCGCAUAUAUCGUAAAGGCAAUCACGUAGCAAACAAGUUUGCUUCUUAUGCAACAUCUAUAAAAGAUUUUUUUUUAAAUGGUUUCAUCUCCGCUACUAUUUUUUGUAAAUAACAGACUCCACGAGUAGAUAUGCACUCUUUUUCCCCAUUAGUCUUUUUUCCCACUGGGUUUUUGGCUAAAGGGUUUUUAACGAGGCUUAUCUGUAGCAUUCUUUCAAAGAGAGAGUUUUGGCUUAAUCCUCUGAGAGGUACUUCUGGUUAUCUGUUUAAUUUGUAGUUUGAUUUGUUGUAUUAUUCUUGUUUCCGUUUCCUGGGCUACUCUUUUGUAUUCUUCUAUUGUUCCUCUCAUAUCUUUUGUACUCUA